GGCAAUCCGGAUAGUUCAUCUGAAAAAAUAUCAAAAAAUUCUUUGACAAUUGGGAUAUCAUCCAGCUUUAUCUUUUCCUUCUCGACAUCUAUUAUAUGGGCCAAAAAUGCUUUGCAUCCUUUCCUUAAAGCUUUUCUUGCGUUCAUGAUUGAGAUAAUACCCAAAGAUUGUUUGGAUUCCGUAUUAUGAACUUCGCCUUGAAAGAAGAAUUACGGUUCAUCCAGAAUUUGAAAUACCACUCUUUUUCCAAAACAAUCAAUAUGUGCAUGGUAUGAAGAUAACCAGUUCAUCCCAAGAAUAACGUCAAAAUCAUACAUAUUUAGCUGAAUCAAAUCUGCUGCUAAUUCUUUUUCUUCUAUUUGGAUUAUGCAAUUCUUGAAAAUAAUGUCAG
rnacentral:lncRNA from 1 species